UUACCGAGUUUACAACUCCCAAACCCCUGUGAACAUACCACUUGUUGCCUCGGCGGAUCAGCCCGCUCCCGGUAAAACGGGACGGCCCGCCAGAGGACCCCUAAACUCUGUUUCUAUAUGUAACUUCUGAGUAAAACCAUAAAUAAAUCAAAACUUUCAACAACGGAUCUCUUGGUUCUGGCAUCGAUGAAGAACGCAGCAAAAUGCGAUAAGUAAUGUGAAUUGCAGAAUUCAGUGAAUCAUCGAAUCUUUGAACGCACAUUGCGCCCGCCAGUAUUCUGGCGGGCAUGCCUGUUCGAGCGUCAUUUCAACCCUCAAGCACAGCUUGGUGUUGGGACUCGCGUUAAUUCGCGUUCCUCAAAUUGAUUGGCGGUCACGUCGAGCUUCCAUAGCGUAGUAGUAAAACCCUCGUUACUGGUAAUCGUCGCGGCCACGCCGUUAAACCCCAACUUCUGAAUGUUGACCUCGGAUCAGGUAGGAAUACCC
rnacentral:rRNA from 1 species